rnacentral:rRNA from 1 species
GACGAACGCUGGCGGCGUGCUUAACACAUGCAAGUCGAACGGAAAGGCCCUGCUUUUGUGGGGUGCUCGAGUGGCGAACGGGUGAGUAACACGUGAGUAACCUGCCCUUGACUUUGGGAUAACUUCAGGAAACUGGGGCUAAUACCGGAUAGGAGCUCCUGCUGCAUGGUGGGGGUUGGAAAGUUUCGGCGGUUGGGGAUGGACUCGCGGCUUAUCAGCUUGUUGGUGGGGUAGUGGCUUACCAAGGCUUUGACGGGUAGCCGGCCUGAGAGGGUGACCGGCCACAUUGGGACUGAGAUACGGCCCAGACUCCUACGUGAGGCAGCAGUGGGGAAUAUUGCACAAUGGGCGGAAGCCUGAUGCAGCAACGCCGCGUGCGGGAUGACGGCCUUCUGGUUGUAAACCGCUUUCGCCUGUGACGAAGCGUGAGUGACGGUAAUGGGUAAAGAAGCACCGGCUAACUACGUG